AACGCGAAGAACCUUACCAAGGCUUGACAUACACCGGAAAGCAUUAGAGAUAGUGCCCCCCUUGUGGUCGGUGUACAGGUGGUGCAUGGCUGUCGUCAGCUCGUGUCGUGAGAUGUUGGGUUAAGUCCCGCAACGAGCGCAACCCUUGUUCUGUGUUGCCAGCAUGCCCUUCGGGGUGAUGGGGACUCACAGGAGACUGCCGGGGUCAACUCGGAGGAAGGUGGGGACGACGUCAAGUCAUCAUGCCCCUUAUGUCUUGGGCUGCACACGUGCUACAAUGGUAGGUACAAAGAGCUGCGAUACCGUGAGGUGGAGCGAAUCUCAAAAAGCCUGUCUCAGUUCGGAUUGGGGUCUGCAACUCGACCCCAUGAAGUCGGAGUUGCUAGUAAUCGCAGAUCAGCAUUGCUGCGGUGAAUACGUUCCCGGGCCUUGUACACACCG
rnacentral:rRNA from 1 species